UGAUUCAUUUAGGAUUUCAUUAACUCCUAUAUUUGUACAAGCUCUAGUGUGCCUUCAGAAUUUGCUUCGGAGUUAGCCACAACCCAUAAUUAUUGAGGAAGAUUUAGAUUUUCUUGAGAAACUUGAAAAAGGUAAGAAAAGAAUCUCAUUGAUGUUAAAAUUGUGAAUUGUUUAUUUAAUACUUUUAUUGAUUAAGCAUCGUAUUUUUCUUUAGAUUUUGCUAAACUUGGAAAAGAACUUUGCAUUGAUGACAUGUAAAAUUGGAGGAAGGAAGAUUUCAUCAUGCAUCGAUCACUUGUUUGGAAUCACUAUGAAAAACUUGAAGAA